CAGCCGCCGCGGGAACACGAAGGGUGCAAGCGUUACUCGGAAUUACUGGGCGUAAAGCGUGCGUAGGUGGUGGUUUAAGUCCGUUGUGAAAGCCCUGGGCUCAACCUGGGAAUUGCAGUGGAUACUGGGUCACUAGAGUGUGGUAGAGGAUAGUGGAAUUUCCGGUGUAGCAGUGAAAUGCGUAGAGAUCGGAAGGAACAUCUGUGGCGAAGGCGACUAUCUGGGCCAACACUGACACUGAGGCACGAAAGCAUGGGGAGCAAACAGGAUUAGAUACCCCGGUAGUCCCUGUCUCUUAUAC
rnacentral:rRNA from 1 species